UCCCUGUCUCCUGCACUAGAGCCUCAGCUGCUCAAGGACAGGGAUUCUGUUUGUAUUGUUAGUGCCCUGUCCCCAGCAGGUGGCACAGUGCCGACACACAGUGGGUGCCCAACGACCGUGACUUGAACGAAUGGAUUGAUUGAUUGAUUGAUUGCCUCCAGGGCGCCCUGCCUGCUCUAGCUGCCAGUCUGGGCUUAGCCGGAGAAGAGUGUGAAGGGCUGAGGGUGGGCAGUGGCCCUCCCUCCUCCUCUGCCCUCUCCCACCAUGUCAGCCCCAAGGCCUCCACUGCGUCCAGAAGGUGGAGAUUCAGGGAUGUGGAUGCCUCCUCUGCAGCUCUAUUGAGAAGAUUCUAUUCGUUGAACAAAGCUUUAUUUUCCCAGGCACCCGAGGACUGCGGGGAACUGGGACCCUGAAACUUCAUUCCUCGGGGAAGGGAGCAGUGCAGCUGUUACGAGCAUCGAGUGUGGAGUCAGCUGCUUCGUGGCUGCGUGACAUCGGACUUCACAUCUCUGCGCCUCGGUUUCCCUCAGCGAGCGUAGGGACACUGGAGCUUGUGCAGAUAGAUGUGCAAGGCCCGGAUCAAGGAAGGGUGAGCUUGGGGCUCUGAGGCACGUGGCCACAGGCCUAGGACCGGAGUUGUGGACUGGAGUUGUGGAGUCUCGGCAGGGGUGUGGCCGGUGGGUCCAGCACCUUCGUGGUGCCGUCCCUCUGGGGGCUUCGGGCCCAUGCCUGUGCCUUAGGCCCCUCCUCAGAAUCUUGGUCUUAAAAGCAUCAAAUGACGCCCAGGAUGCCGAAGGAGCCAGUUAUCACAGUGGCUAAAAAGCACGUUUGUGAUAGGGUAAGAUGUGUGUUUUUUUCUGAACGCAUCGAUGAUAGUGUUGAGUGGCAGAUUUAAUCCCCACCAUAAUUUGGGGCCAGAGAUGGAUGUAAAUGACGCUUGCAGAGGUCUGUAACACCACGAGUGGGAUAUGAAUACAUCUGUGACUUUUCUGGGUAAUGAAGUCCUAGGCGCUGCCGCUGACACCAGCGUUUGCUGCCUCAAUUUACAGUGGAAGGAAACGGUACAUUUCAGCGGUGCCUGGUAGAAAUAGUGAUACUCUUCCCAUCAAACACACGGCCCCGGGUUCCAUCCCUGACAUUCCGCCUGCUCCCGCCCGCCCUGCCAGGAGGAGCGGCGACACCAAUAAUGCCACAGUCAGUGAUGGACGGUGACAAGUGGCACCAUCACUGGUCUUUAUGGGGGCUUUGCGCUGCGCCUCACGGCAGCUGUGUCUGCUCUUCCUGCUUCUUA